GUUUUUUGCACUCUUGUACUUGUUUAAGGUCAACAAUUUGUGUAUUUUUGCUAAAAUGAUUAUGUUAGUGUAUUUAUUGUCGGUCGUCUAGUUUUUUGAGUUUAAUGAUCAUCACAUUGCGCUUGCUCUGAUAUUCAACCCUCUACUCGUGUUUCAUCAUACUUUAUAUACAAAUGAUUUGGCUUCCCAUAUUUAGUAAUAUCCUAAUCAUCGAACAUGGUGAUAUAGGUAAAAAUAUUUUUGUAUUUUUACCUAACUUUUCCCAUUUAGGUAUGAGUUGAAAUUUUUUUUGCAUAUUUAUUUCAAAUUAAGUUUCUAAUUUCUUCCUAUUUUACUAAAGUGACUUUUAACUACUUAAGUUACCCAGGUAUUAAAAAUAUUAAGGAAAAAUGGGUUGUGGAGGAUCAGCAAUGCUACCGAUGCCUAUAGAAGAACCAAAAAAUUUAAAAUUAGACAUCCCUUCUGCCGUUGCUUUUGAUGUUCCUCUGGAUGAAGAAGAAGAGAGUCUUAUUAAGAAACAUCCUCCUAAGAGAUUAAAAUUGAUGGAAGGACAACAAUCACCGCCGUUAACUCAUGAAAUGUUAUUAGAUAAACUAGCAGAAGCUGAGCAAAGACGAUUGCGGAUUUUAAAUCAAAGAAUCGAAUCAGCAAAAACUAUGAUGAGACCGAGAUACAAUAGCAUCAGUAAAGCUAACGGCGACAGUACAUUAGCAGGAAAUGAAGAUGUGGGUGAAGAAUCUUAAUCAUAUCACUUAUGGCUAUUCCAGCUUGUUAAAAAUUAAAUAUUCUUAACAAGUUCUCAUAAUAUUGAGUGCAGCUCAAUAUGAUUAACAUAUGGGUAAAAUGAAUAGUUAUACUAAACAUAAAAUUGGACAGUAUGAUAUAACAGCAACUGUUUGAAAACCAUUAGCUUACACUUACAAAACUAUCAGUUUUUUCUCCAUUAGUACUACAAAACUACUGAUGCAAUGAGAAUUCUGAAAACAAUUUGUAAUUCAACAUUAUGAUACUAAAUAUCUGUUGGGCUACUUUUUUGAAAUUGUAAUGUUUUCAGUACAAAAAUUUAUUUGAA